AAUGAACCGGCGAGUUACGAUUUGAUGCAAGGUUAAGCAGUAAAUGUGGAGCCGUAGCGAAAGCGAGUCUGAAUAGGGCGUUUAGUAUUUGGUCGUAGACCCGAAACCAGGUGAUCUACCCUUGGUCAGGUUGAAGUUCAGGUAACACUGAAUGGAGGACCGAACCGACUUACGUUGAAAAGUGAGCGGAUGAACUGAGGGUAGCGGAGAAAUUCCAAUCGAACCUGGAGAUAGCUGGUUCUCUCCGAAAUAGCUUUAGGGCUAGCCUCAAGUGAUGAUUAUUGGAGGUAGAGCACUGUUUGGACGAGGGGCCCCUCUCGGGUUACCGAAUUCAGACAAACUCCGAAUGCCAAUUAAUUUAACUUGGGAGUCAGAACAUGGGUGAUAAGGUCCGUGUUCGAAAGGGAAACAGCCCAGACCACCAGCUAAGGUCCCAAAAUAUAUGUUAAGUGGAAAAGGAUGUGGCGUUGCCCAGACAACUAGGAUGUUGGCUUAGAAGCAGCCAUCAUUUAAAGAGUGCGUAAUAGCUCACUAGUCGAGUGACACUGCGCCGAAAAUGUACCGGGGCUAAACAUA
rnacentral:rRNA from 1 species